GCAAACUUGGUCAUUUAGAGGAAGUAAAAGUCGUAACAAGGUCUCCGUUGGUGAACCAGCGGAGGGAUCAUUACCGAGUUUACAACUCCCAAACCCCUGUGAACAUACCAUACUGUUGCCUCGGCGGAUCAACCGCGCCCCUAAGACGGGACGGCCCGCCAGAGGACCCCAAACCCAUGUCUUUAAGUGUAUCUUCUGAGUAACCAAAAAUAAAGUUAAAACUUUCAACAACGGAUCUCUUGGCUCUGGCAUCGAUGAAGAACGCAGC
rnacentral:misc_RNA from 1 species